GGCUGGAGGGCGGGGGCCCACCUCCUGGUGCCGAGCCCUCCCCAGGGUGGUGGGGGAGGGGAACGGCUCCUGGCCAUGGCCUAGGGCACCUGGCACCCUGCCCUCAGACCCCAGUGUCCCCUGCUCUGGCCCCCGAGCUGUGUUGGCACCUGUCUCUCCUGCUCCCUGGCUCUGAGCAGGCCUACCCCAUGACCCCGCUGGGCCGUCCUGCUGGUCAGACACCCCGGCCUUCUCCAGAGCCCUCACUGCAGGGCUCCUGCUUGCCUCCUCCUGAGAUCCCUCCUGGGAGGCAGGGCCCAGAGCCCCAGGGACCUGUGGCUGAGGCAGAAAGGGCCCCUGGGGAAGAGCACGUGGCUUCAGGGGAGCAGGCAGGGAAACCCCCCCUCAACUUCCCGGGUCUGGGGCCCAUCUGGGGCAGCUGGGAGGCUGCCUGGCCCUCACGGCCGCUCCAGGGGUGGACCAGGCCAGCAGGGCACAGGACUGCCUCCAGGGGCGAGUCUGUGCGUGGCGGCGAGCAGCAGGCACCCCUGGGGGAGACCACAUGGGUGGGCUGGCAGGGGGCCCAGAGUGCCCGGGGGAGGGGCUCAGGACAGAUGGGGUGGCCCCCAGGAGCCCACACCCAGGGUCUGCCCAAGGUUACCCGCCACGAGGAACCACGAGAUGGUCUCUGGCCUGUAGGGGAGAACUUUCUGGAAGGUGGGAGCCCUGAGGUCUGGGGACGCCCCCCAGCCUCUGCCUGGAGGAGCUCCUCCGUGCGACCACAGGCUGUUGGCAGAAGGUCAGGUGUGGGGAUGGGGCCUCUCCUGGCGCCCUCCACACACGUGGGUCCCGGUCAAGCUUCCCGGGACCCUCACCCGUGUCCCUGACGGCGGAGAGGACACCAAAGAAAAAACCCAUGGCGCGGACCCCCGAGAAGCAGAGACGGAAGGGCAGGAGCUCUGAUGGGGCCUCUGCCCCACCCCUGCCAGGCCUACUGGUGGCGGGGGACGCCCAGCUCCGGGCCCACCAGUGAGAGCUUGCCCCCUGGCCCAUCCUGUGAAGCCGCGGAGGAUGUGGGCCAGUUCCAGCUGCCCCAGGCCCGCCGGCCGGCGCUCUGAUGGGCCCCCAGACCCCCGCCCACCCCCACAGGAGGCUGGCCUUCUUCCCCGCACAGCACCCCAUGGCAGGUGAGAGCUUGGCCUAUGUGAUGGCUGCUAGUCGUCCCCGGGGCAUUGCAGACAGCUGUGCCUGACACACACUGCCCAACCUACCCCGUCCCACUGUGCCCCCCAUGAGGAGGGGCAGUCCCCCUCAAGAGGACCUGGGGAGGCUUGAGGGCAAAUGGCAACCCCCAGGCUGGGGCCAGGCCGGGGCAGGAGGUCAGGGAGUGGGCCUCAGCUUGGCCAAAGCCGCCUAGUCCAGGGAGGCUCUGCCCAGUGCCCGCUGCGUGCCAGGCCCCUGCCCCUGGAGGCCGAAGUCCAGGGCCUGCCACUCCCCGACACUGGAGAAGUAGAGUGGGCGCAGCGAGGUGGACACCCGCCCCGCCUCCCCACCUGGGCUGCAGGGAGGCCAGGCACCCUGGGUGAGCUGCAGGCCAUGAACAGGAGGGACCUCCAUCUGGUCCCUGGAGAGCAGUGUCGGAGACCCCUGGGCCCACCUCCGCGUGCCCACCUCCCUCCUCCCCCUGCGGAUCCGUCCAGACCUGGGCAGCGGGUGCGGUUGCUGGGAGGAGCCCACAGCCUGCAGGGCCCAGUGUCCACAGUGGGCAGGGACCAUGUCCCUUGGUGCUAGACUCCCAGCUGGGCAGGCAGACGGGGCUGGCGGGAAGGGAAAAGGUGACAACCCUGCCAAGCUGGGCACCUCGUCACCCGGGCUGCGGCUCCGAGCUGGCAGUGCCCAGAGGCCCCCGCAGGCCUGGCUGCACGUGCCCAGGCAGGAAGGAGGGUCUCUGCCCUGAGUGUGGGCGGCUGCGGGCAGGAGGCCAGGCUCCCUAGAGCCUCCUCGGGCUUCUGGGGAAGGAAGGGUGCUCCCAGCAGGGCUGGGGGUCCGGGGGCUGCGCCAGGACCUCUCGAGGGCAGCCCAGCCCAGCCCCAGCUGUUACACGGAGCUGAGGGCCGGGGACACCGGCGCGAGCGCUGUGACCACACUGUAUUUUGUUUUCACUGAAACGUGUGAUGAGCUCUGGCUACGCUUGCAAGGUGGAGCAGCUGUACUUCUGGGAGGCCCAGGUUCGAUCCCGGGUCGGAGGACCAGAUCCCACACGCUGAAACUAAAGAUCCCUCCGUGCCUCAGUGAAAAUUGAAGAUCCUGGCGGCCACGAGACCCAGCACAGCCAAAUACGCUUUUUAAAGAACUGUUUUCAGAAUCCAGUUGCGACAGUCGCUCUAGACGAGUCGUUUUACGCAGUCACGUCUGACUGCGGACACGUGCGACCCCACGGACUGCAGCCCUCCAGGCUCCUCUGCCCCUGGUAUUUUCCAGGCAAGAAUGGUGGAGUGGGUUGCCAUUUCCUUCUUCAGGGGACCUUCUCGACCAAGGGGUCAGACCCACGUCUGCAACGGCAGGUGGAGUCUUCACCACCGCGCCACAUGGGGAGCCCUGAGUCGUUUCGUGUAAAGAUGUUUUAUCAAUUAUGGUUGAGCUUUGCCUUCUAA